GACAAAAGACUUUCAGCCCAACGAAACUGUGACCCAGCCCAAUUACCUCAUUAAUCCCCAAUAUCCCUUAAUUCAUUUCCCACAAAAAUACAAAAGACCAAACGAACCUAAUAUUUUCUCAUCUCCCCACGUUAAUUCCAACUGUUCCAUUCAAGUUUGGUAAUGCUUCAACGCGUUUCUACCUUUCCCAGUCGCGGUUUUGACAUUUUGGGCAAGAAAUUAAUGCCUUUGUUGUCCUCUUCUCAACUCAAACGACCUUAGAGUGAGAACACUCAGAAACCCAGCUAAGCCGUUGAGUUUCGAGGAAGUUCUCAUUCAUAGUUUAAUUUUUCGAAGUCGUUUCCGCUCGUCGAAAUACGAUUCGUGUGAAAGAUGAUUCAUCGACACUCGUCGCCCCUGUCGCUGCUCGGUAAAAAGGAAAAUUCCCUUCCUUCCGUUGAUUAUCAUUUUAUUUAAUGGUUUAUCUAUUUGCUUAUGUAUUUUUUUUUACUGGUUUUAGCCUAGUUGUUUGCAUCAGUUAAGCUAUUCUUCAGUUGUGUAGUGUCUUUAUUAAAUGACAGUAG